UCUGGGACAAGCCCUGGAAACGGGGUCUAAUACCGGAUACGACUACCGACCGCAUGGUCUGGUGGUGGAAAGCUCCGGCGGUGAAGGAUGAGCCCGCGGCCUAUCAGCUUGUUGGUGGGGUGAUGGCCUACCAAGGCGACGACGGGUAGCCGGCCUGAGAGGGCGACCGGCCACACUGGGACUGAGACACGGCCCAGACUCCUACGGGAGGCAGCAGUGGGGAAUAUUGCACAAUGGGCGAAAGCCUGAUGCAGCGACGCCGCGUGAGGGAUGACGGCCUUCGGGUUGUAAACCUCUUUCAGCAGGGAAGAAGCGAGAGUGACGGUACCUGCAGAAGAAGCGCCGGCUAACUACGUGCCAGCAGCCGCGGUAAUACGUAGGGCGCAAGCGUUGUCCGGAAUUAUUGGGCGUAAAGAGCUCGUAGGCGGCUUGUCACGUCGGAUGUGAAAGCCCGGGGCUUAACCCCGGGUCUGCAUUCGAUACGGGCAGGCUAGAGUUCGGUAGGGGAGAUCGGAAUUCCUGGUGUAGCGGUGAAAUGCGCAGAUAUCAGGAGGAACACCGGUGGCGAAGGCGGAUCUCUGGGCCGAUACUGACGCUGAGGAGCGAAAGCGUGGGGAGCGAACAGGAUUAGAUACCCUGGUAGUCCACGCCGUAAACGUUGGGAACUAGGUGUGGGCGACAUUCCACGUCGUCCGUGCCGCAGCUAACGCAUUAAGUUCCCCGCCUGG
rnacentral:rRNA from 1 species